AUUGAACGCUGGCGGCAGGCCUAACACAUGCAAGUCGAGCGGAGCGGCGGACGGGGGAGUAAUGCCUAGGAAUCUGCCUGUUAGUGGGGGAGAACGUCCGGAAACGGGCGCUAAUACCGCAUACUAUCAGAUUAGCCUAGGUCGGAUUAGCUAGUUGGUGGGGUAAGGGCCUACCAAGGCGACGACCCGUAACUGGUCUGAGAGGAUGAUCAGUCACACUGGAACUGAGACACGGUCCAGACUCCUACGGGAGGCAGCAGUGGGGAAUAUUGGACAAUGGGCGAAAGCCUGAUCCAGCCAUGCCGCGUGUGUGAAGAAGGUCUUCGGAUUGUAAAGCACUUUCAGUUGGGAGGCGUUACCAACAGAAUAAGCACCGGCUAACUUCGUGCCAGCCGCCGCGGUAAUUC
rnacentral:rRNA from 1 species